AGGGUAGUAAAACGCUGCAGACUUGGUGUUGGAAGUCCUUUGGGGGGCAUUCAGUGCCGGAGAGAAGUUGUUAAGUCUGCUACUUGGGGGAGUACGUCCGCAAAGGAUGAAACUUAAAGGAAUUGGCGGGGGAGCACCGCAACGGGAGGAGCGUGCGGUUUAAUUGGAUUCAACGCCGAAAAAACUCACCAGCAGCGACUGUUACAUGAAAGUCAGGUUGAUGACCUUACUAGAUUUUUCAGAGAGGAGGUGCAUGGCGUCAGUGA
rnacentral:rRNA from 1 species